CUUUGGGCUCAAUUCUUCUAGGGGAAUUCCCCAUCGUGUGAAGUAAUAGUCCUCGGUUGAAGGUGAAAUAUCUGGAGGUAAGCUGCGUAGAAACUUUUUGACGUCAAACUGGGAUCCAGGCAAGUCUUCUGUUGAAGUUUGCAUGUGGUUACGGUGGUCUUGAUUACCAUCAGGGUUCUAGUAUCAACCUGUCCAAAAUUGCAUCUCGUCGCUGCCACCGAAAGAGAACGGUGUCGCCCAUUGCUCUGAAGCAGAGAAAUUGAGUUUUGUUAAUCAACAUGUGGCUCGAUUUGCGAGGGCGUAUUUACGACCACUACAGCGGCUUUUGAUCACUAUUUGGACAUGGUGCUUUGAAAAUGUUUUGACAUAUGAGCCGAAUAUGUCCAGUUGUAGACGCGCUCAUUCAAGUGAUUGCGGCUUGUGAAGCGCGGAAUUGCGCAUGUUCAACUUCAGACGAAAGCGGAUCGUAAACUUCAAUCAGUGAAACCCUAGGGUUACAUGUUAUUCCAAAGUGUGAGUUGUUUUGCUUUGCGGGGAUGGUGAGCGAGCAGGAGCCCGUUGUGCGAGAAGCGUUACGCGAAGCCCGUAAAGUGCUGUCCUCAGUAAAACGUCCAGAUGCAACUCAAGACAGUGGAGCAACUGAGCGAGUUUUGGAAUGUACCUUCCGGCUUCUGGAGAGUGUUUAUUCAUCAAUAGACAAUGGCAAGAGUACGGUACUCAGUUCCUCAGAUACUACUGUUGUGAAGGCCAUCUUGGAGCUAGUGGUAAGGUGGGGGAUAUACCCUCAUUUGAGUCCUGGAGUGGGCAUACCCUUGGAAAAACGUUUCGGGGAAAAAUCGGCAGCCUCUGCAGCAGCUGCGUUGAAGGAACAUGUCUCAGGUGAAGGUUCCGGCUCCUCUGUAGGGCUUGUUGGAGCUCAAAUGUCCAAAGACGCACCAUCUCUUCUCCAGUCUGCGGAGCUCUUGGCUGGUCUCAUUCUAGACAGCCCUCAGAAGAUUAACUCAGAACCAUCUGGCUUGGAUGCAACGUCAAUUGGACAAUGUAGCGAGCCGAGCAAUCCUACGGAGAAAGGAGGAGAAACACUUACUGAGGCGACUAACCUUCCAGCAGCAGCUCUACAUCAGCUUGUUAUGUUUCACCAUCUCCCUGACCUUUGUGCAGCAUUUAUUCAGCUCUCUCUUUCAGGCAAAGAUGAAUGGAAGAAGCUCGCGACAGAAAGGAUAAACCAAAUGGUCAAAGUUCUGCCUGUUGCUCACAUGGUCGAAGCCCUCUUAACGCUGCUUGGGCAAAAAGAACCUGGUCCUCCUCAUUGGUUAAAAGAAAAUGCAGGAAGGAUGUUAUCUAAGCUCGUGAUGAGAAGAGGAGGGGUAGCGGCUUCUAUGGAGAGGCUUGUUGGGGGCAUACAAGAGGGAAAUGUGAAAGCAUAUGAGCACAUUGCUUUGCAUCUGGCCAAAGUUCCGAGAUAUGUUGCCACGACACAGGAAUACUAUGAAGCGAUAUCCCCACAACUGCCACCCCUGAUCCUAGCUCCUCUGCCAGGGCAAGAGGGUGGUCUUAAGGAAGGAACUUUGGCAGCACGUUUGGUUGUGAACAUGCAUCAUACAGCCAUUAUAAUGGCCUGUAAAUUAGCUUCCCGUGAUAUCAAGCUCUUUGGAGAGUAUCUACUAAUUCCUUGGCUGAAACCUUUGGUCUUUUGGGGGAUGCUAGCGCAAGGAGAGGGACAGCUUGAGCUUGAUACGAAAACCAAAGUUGUUGAUAAUGUUUCUCCUAGACAGUCUGACAUGCAAGGUGCUACUCUGGAGGAUGGCUGUUACGAAUCAGAAGAAAAUAUGGAACUGUUGCUAGUAAAUGCGUUGAUUGGCACACAUAUCUUUUUGACGGCAGGACAUGAAGGUGCUGAUUCUGUACGAAGUUUUUUAGUACCACUGAUUGAGCCGACAAGUGAAGCUCUUUUGUCGUUGAAGGUUUUAUUAGAACCUACAAGAGGGAAAUUUAGGUCAAAGCAGGUUAAACGAGAAGGAACAUUUCAACCCAUCGCCGAAGGACUAGGAUCUGCUGAACGGGCUCACAAGAGUGAGAGUGGAGCAACGUCAACAACUUCUAAAUCAGACUUUGAAAAGGGAUUUCUGGAACAUUCUUCAUUAGGUUACGCUCAUGUGGAAGGACCCUCAAGUAUUUUAGACAGGCUGAGGGCUGCUUUAUCUGAUAUUGUAGAUCUUCUACAUGAGGAACGAUCGGAAUCUCCAAGUGUUCUCCCACCUUCAGUUCUGAAUGCUGUUAAGAUGAAGUGGCCGAGGCAUAAUGGUAACAUAUGGGAUGCUUUAAAUUCUGACAGAUGAUGAUUCACAUUCUUUUCAGAAAGGCAUUAUGCUACAGCAUUAAAAACUACCACUUGAAGAAAAGGCAUGCCUAGUCUCUGAUAUUACACUGGAAACGAACACUAGUGUGCUGGAAGGAGCAACAACCAAAACGCAUUAAAAUAUAGUGAAUUUUCAAGGAAAGCAGUUCUAGUAGUCGAAUCUCUUCUUGAUAUCUUCAUUGACUGCCGGAUAUCAAACCUCAAGCAGUACUUGGGUUCAUUUUUAGGCUUUUCAGAAGAUUGGAGAAUGCUGAAUGGUGGCUUUUCAGAAGGUGGAUGCCAUCAGCUCAGUCCAAAGCUGAGCUAUUUGAGAAUGGAUGGGACCUUCAAUGAAUGAAGACUUGACUGAUACAGCAACGAUGUGAAGAAUUCUUCUCUUCACCAACUAGAGUUGAGGGAAUUUGGAAUAUUUAUUCUGUUCUGUUCAUGAGAACAAAUCCACAUGUGAUCCUUAUAUUAACAAGGUUAAGGAAUUUUUAAUGUAAAAAUACGUUAAACCAUAAUUGAGUCUACAUUGAAAUUAACAAGUC